rnacentral:rRNA from 1 species
GAAUAACUCCGGGAAACCGGGGCUAAUGCCGGAUAACAUGUUGAACCGCAUGGUUCUACAGUGAAAGACGGUCUUGCUGUCACUUAUAGAUGGACCCGCGCCGUAUUAGCUAGUUGGUGGGGUAACGGCCUACCAAGGCGACGAUACGUAGCCGACCUGAGAGGGUGAUCGGCCACACUGGAACUGAGACACGGUCCAGACUCCUACGGGAGGCAGCAGUAGGGAAUCUUCCGCAAUGGGCGAAAGCCUGACGGAGCAACGCCGCGUGAGUGAUGAAGGUCUUCGGAUCGUAAAGCUCUGUUGUUAGGGAAGAACAAAUGUGUAAGUAACUGUGCACAUCUUGACGGUACCUAACCAGAAAGCCACGGCUAACUACGUGCCAGCAGCCGCGGUAAUACGUAGGUGGCAAGCGUUAUCCGGAAUUAUUGGGCGUAAAGCGCGCGUAGGCGGUUUUUUAAGUCUGAUGUGAAAGCCCACGGCUCAACCGUGGAGGGUCAUUGGAAACUGGAAAACUUGAGUGCAGAAGAGGAAAGUGGAAUUCCAUGUGUAGCGGUGAAAUGCGCAGAGAUAUGGAGGAACACCAGUGGCGAAGGCGGCUUUCUGGUCUGCAACUGACGCUGAUGUGCGAAAGCGUGGGGAUCAAACAGGAUUAGAUACCCUGGUAGUCCACGCCGUAAACGAUGAGUGCUAAGUGUUAGGGGGUUUCCGCCCCUUAGUGCUGCAGCUAACGCAUUAAGCACUCCGCCUGGGGAGUACGGUCGCAAGACUGAAACUCAAAGGAAUUGACGGGGACCCGCACAAGCGGUGGAGCAUGUGGUUUAAUUCGAAGCAACGCGAAGAACCUUACCAAAUCUUGACAUCCUUUGACCGCUCUAGAGAUAGAGUUUUCCUCUUCGGAGGACAAAGUGACAGGUGGUGCAUGGUUGUCGUCAGCUCGUGUCGUGAGAUGUUGGGUUAAGUCCCGCAACGAGCGCAACCCUUGAACUUAGUUGCCAUCAUUC